ACUCAAAGGAAUAGACGGGGGCCCGCACAAGCAGCGGAGCGUGUGGUUUAAUUCGACGCAACACGCAACACCUUACCCAGCCUGGACAUGGGUCUGCAGGUGGGUCAAAGCCCACCGCCUUCGAGGGUGACCCACAGAUGCUGCAUGGCUGUCGUCAGCUCGUGUCGUGAGAUGUUGGGUUAAGUCCCGCAACGAGCGCAACCCCCACGGUCAGUUACGAGUGUCUGGCCGGACUGCCCUUCGGGGAGGAAGGCGGGGAUGAUGUCAAGUCCGCAUGGCUCUGACGGCUGGGGCGACACACACGCUACAAUGGCGCCGACAAUGCGUUGCGACCUGGUAACAGGCAGCUAAUCGCCAACCGGCGUCUCAGUGCAGAUCGGGGGCUGCAACUCGCCCCCGUGAAGGCGGAGUUGCUAGUAACCGCGUAUCAGCUAUGGCGCGGUGAAUACGUACCCGGGCCUUGUACACACCGCCCGU
rnacentral:rRNA from 1 species